GAUGAACGCUGGCGGCGUGCCUAAUACAUGCAAGUCGAGCGAACAGACGAGGAGCUUGCUCCUCUGACGUUAGCGGCGGACGGGUGAGUAACACGUGGAUAACCUACCUAUAAGACUGGGAUAACUUCGGGAAACCGGAGCUAAUACCGGAUAAUAUAUUGAACCGCAUGGUUCAAUAGUGAAAGACGGUUUUGCUGUCACUUAUAGAUGGAUCCGCGCCGCAUUAGCUAGUUGGUAAGGUAACGGCUUACCAAGGCAACGAUGCGUAGCCGACCUGAGAGGGUGAUCGGCCACACUGGAAGUGAGACACGGUCCAGACUCCUACGGGAGGCAGCAGUAGGGAAUCUUCCGCAAUGGGCGAAAACCUGACGGAGCAACGCCGCGUGAGUGAUGAAGGUCUUCGGAUCGUAAAACUCUGUUAUUAGGGAAGAACAAAUGUGUAAGUAGCUAUGCACGUCUUGACGGUACCUAAUCAGAAAGCCACGGCUAACUACGUG
rnacentral:rRNA from 1 species